AUCAAUACCUCUCCAAUGAAAUAUUAGGGUCAUCUCUUCGUUUCAGAAGAUGAAGGGUUGAGGAGUCCAACUGCGUCGCCAUCCCGCCGCCGCUCCUCCUCGCGUUCGCCGGCAACCGGAGCACCUCCUCCUCCUCCUCCUCCGCCAUCGCCAUCGUGACUGUUGCGACCACCACUACCUCCGCUACCACCUCCAUCGAUGCCCUCUUUUCACGCCGCCGCCUCCUCCUCCUCCGCCGAUCUUCACAGAUCUGCAAAUGUCCUUGAACCAGAAUCGCUAUAUAAAAUCAAGAACCCCAACUAUAAGGGCAAGUGGAAAACCCCAUGGAUUGAUAACCCAGAGUUUGAAGAUGAUCCUCACCUUUAUGUGUUAAAGCCAAUAAAAUAUGUAGGUGUUGAAGUUUGGCAAGUAAGACUCUUGACUCUCUAUUAUUAAAGUAUUGUUAUUUCUUCUAAUUGGGUCUAUGAUCUUGCACUUUCUGAUUCAAGUUGAGUCUGUGAACCUCUGCUGUUAUGAAGUCAAAGGUUGCAAUGCUUCAUUGUCAGUUUCAGGACUUUGGCCAAUUUUAUUGAUUUUUUAUUUUUUUUGAAAAAGUUGUUCAUGUCAUCGGUCUGAAUACCCAUUUUCCUUUUUCUUUUUCUUUUUUCCAAAAAGGAAGAAGAAAAUGCUGACCCUAUUUGUUUUGAACUUCUCUAAUCUGGUUUUUAGCAAAUUGUGGGCCCUUUAAGAGUUGCUACCAGCUACAAUUAGUUCAUUUUCGUUAUAAAUUUUUUAGCUUUGCCUGGAAUUAUUGGAGCUCUUUUAUUGCAUUGCAGGUAAAGGCUGGUGAGAAUCACUCAAAUAUUUUAUUUACAAGUUUUUAUCAUGUGAAUUGCUCUUUAUAGUUGAUUUGAUAGUUAUAUUAUCUAAUUUGCAAGUUUUUAUCUUUAUGAAAUUUCAGAUUGAAAAGGAUGCCUUUGAGGAGGCAGAGAAAGCAAGAAGAGCUAAGGAAGAGGAGAAUGUGCUGCAAGAACUAUUAGAUGAUAGUGUGCAAAAGUCAGUAAGAGACGACCAAAAUCUGGUAUUGCUUCCAAAGCAAUUGUGGAGUUCACUGAAGGAAAGAGAAGAUAGUCAAACUUGCUGUGGGGUGGAUGGCUAUUAGAUCAGGGGCAAGCUAUCACAUCAAAAUGCAUCUUUUCACCUGAUGCAGGGUUAAAGGCAAGUAAUACAAAUACACACUCACAUUUUUAAUUUUGUCUGUUUUAAUGUUGUUCCUAGUCGAGUGUGUUACUGGCUCCAAAUUCUGAGGUGAAUCAUAAGUUAAUCCUAAAGAAGUUUGAC